rnacentral:rRNA from 1 species
CUACGGGCCGCAGCAGUGGGGAAUCUUAGACAAUGGGCGCAAGCCUGAUCUAGCCAUGCCGCGUGAGUGACGAAGGCCUUAGGGUCGUAAAGCUCUUUCGCUGGGGAAGAUAAUGACGGUACCCAGUAAAGAAACCCCGGCUAACUCCGUGCCAGCAGCCGCGGUAAUACGGAGGGGGUUAGCGUUGUUCGGAAUUACUGGGCGUAAAGCGCGCGUAGGCGGAUCAGAAAGUUGGGGGUGAAAUCCCGGGGCUCAACCCCGGAACUGCCUUCAAAACUCCUGGUCUUGAGUUCGAGAGAGGUGAGUGGAAUUCCGAGUGUAGAGGUGAAAUUCGUAGAUAUUCGGAGGAACACCAGUGGCGAAGGCGGCUCACUGGCUCGAUACUGACGCUGAGGUGCGAAAGCGUGGGGAGCAAACAGGAUUAGAUACCCCUGUAGUC